rnacentral:rRNA from 1 species
UACGGAAGAUGCGAGCGUUAUCCGGAUUUAUUGGGUUUAAAGGGAGCGUAGGCGGGCAGUCAAGUCAGCGGUCAAAUGGCGCGGCUCAACCGCGUUCCGCCGUUGAAACUGGCAGCCUUGAGUAUGCACAGGGUACAUGGAAUUCGUGGUGUAGCGGUGAAAUGCUUAGAUAUCACGAGGAACUCCGAUCGCGCAGGCAUUGUACCGGGGCAUUACUGACGCUGAGGCUCGAAGGUGCGGGUAUCAAACAGG